UAGAGUUUGAUCCUGGCUCAGAACGAACGCUGGCGGCAGGCCUAACACAUGCAAGUCGGACGAGAAGGUUCUUUCGGGAACUGGAGAGUGGCGCACGGGUGAGUAACGCGUGGGGACCUACCUUUUAGUGGGGGAUAACGGUUGGAAACGACCGCUAAUACCGCAUACGCCCUUUUGGGGAAAGAUUUAUCGCUAAAAGAUGGACCCGCGUUGGAUUAGAUAGUUGGUGAGGUAACGGCUCACCAAGUCGGCGAUCCAUAGCUGGUUUGAGAGGAUGAUCAGCCACACUAGGACUGAGACACGGCCCAGACUCCUACGGGAGGCAGCAGUGGGGAAUAUUGGACAAUGGGGGCAACCCUGAUCCAGCCAUGCCGCGUGAGUGAAGAAGGCCUUCGGGUUGUAAAGCUCUUUCAGAUGUGAAGAUGAUGACGGUAGCAUCAGAAGAAGCCCCGGCUAAUUUCGUGCCAGCAGCCGCGGUAAUACGAAAGGGGCAAGCGUUGUUCGGAUUUACUGGGCGUAAAGGGCACGCAGGCGGUCUUGUCAGUCAGAGGUGAAAGCCCUGGGCUCAACCCAGGAACUGCCUUUGAUACUGCAGGACUUGAGACUAGGAGAGGGUGGUGGAAUUCCCAGUGUAGAGGUGAAAUUCGUAGAUAUUGGGAGGAACACCAGAGGCGAAGGCGGCCACCUGGACUAGAUCUGACGCUCAGGUGCGAAAGCGUGGGGAGCAAACAGGAUUAGAUACCCUGGUAGUCCACGCCGUAAACGAUGAGUGCUAGUUGUCGGGGCUUCGGCUUCGGUGACGCAGCUAACGCAUUAAGCACUCCGCCUGGGGAGUACGGUCGCAAGAUUAAAACUCAAAGGAAUUG
rnacentral:rRNA from 1 species